AUGGCAGAGGUGGUCUCGCCGCCCAAGGAACAGAAGCUUAGAGAGGAGACACGGAAGCUCACGGAACUAGAAGAGUUACAGAGAGUGCGCGCGGACGGCCGGGCGGCGGCAGCGUCUCACGGAGGCGGUGGCUUCACUUUCCAGGACUCAGGGGCGGCCACAGCAGCAGCCUCGGGAGCCGAAGCUGGAACGGCCGCGGGCGGCGGUGGCGGUGCUGAGGGAUCUAAAACGUCCACUGAGGCACAAAGAGUUGAUGACAGUCCAAGCACUAGUGGAGGAAGUUCUGAUGGAGACCAACGUGAAAGUGUUCAGCAAGAACCCGAAAGAGAACAAGUUCAGCCCAAGAAAAAGGAGGGAAAAAUAUCCAGCAAAACAGCUGCUAAAUUGUCGACUAGUGCUAAAAGAAUUCAGAAGGAACUUGCAGAGAUUACGUUGGACCCUCCUCCCAACUGUAGUGCUGGACCCAAAGGAGACAACAUUUAUGAAUGGAGGUCAACUGUAUUGGGACCCCCAGGAUCUGUCUAUGAAGGAGGGGUGUUCUUUCUUGACAUUACCUUUUCACCAGACUAUCUGUUUAAACCCCCUAAGGUUACCUUCCGAACAAGAAUCUAUCACUGUAAUAUUAACAGCCAGGGCGUCACCUGUCUGGACAUCCUAAAGGACAACUGGAGUCCAGCCCUGACCAUUUCUAAAGUUCUCCUCUCCAUCUGCUCACUUCUUACAGAUUGCAAGCCUGCUGACCCUCUGGUGGGCAGCACUGCCACACAGUACAUGACCAACAGAGCAGAGCACGACCGGAUGGCCAGACAGUGGACCAAGCGGUAUGCCACACAGGGGCCUGCUGCUUGCCGCCCCCGCCGGACCUGUGCAAGCACAUUCACCAAGUGCAUCAAUAGCCCUACCCACCCCUCCGGACCUCGGUUCUUAUUUUCUUAUUUUUAUUAAAUUCUGAAUCUUUUUCUGAUGGUAUGUCAUCCAUCCCCCACUCCUUUUUCCCUCCCUCCUCUUCCUCCUUUUCCUUCUCUCUUCCCUCCACCACCCCCCGCCCCUGCC